rnacentral:rRNA from 1 species
GAUGAACGCUGGCGGCGUGCCUAAUACAUGCAAGUCGAGCGAACAGACGAGGAGCUUGCUCCUCUGACGUUAGCGGCGGACGGGUGAGUAACACGUGGAUAACCUACCUAUAAGACUGGGAUAACUUCGGGAAACCGGAGCUAAUACCGGAUAAUAUAUUGAACCGCAUGGUUCAAUAGUGAAAGACGGUUUUGCUGUCACUUAUAGAUGGAUCCGCGCCGCAUUAGCUAGUUGGUAAGGUAACGGCUUACCAAGGCAACGAUGCGUAGUCGACCUGAGAGGGUGAUCGGCCACACUGGAACUGAGCCACGGUCCAGACUCCUACGGGAGGCAGCAGUAGGGAAUCUUCCGCAAUGGGCGAAAGCCUGACGGAGCAACGCCGCGUGAGUGAUGAAGGUCUUCGGAUCGUAAAACUCUGUUAUUAGGGAAGAACAAAUGUGUAAGUAACUAUGCACGUCUUGACGGUACCUAAUCAGAAAGCCACGGCUAACUACGUG